AACGAACGCUGGCGGCAGGCCUAACACAUGCAAGUCGAGCGGACCUUUCGGGGUCAGCGGCGGACGGGUGAGUAACGCGUGGGAAUAUGCCCUUCUCUACGGAAUAGUCCUGGGAAACUGGGGGUAAUACCGUAUACGCCCUUUGGGGGUAAGAUUUAUCGGGGAAGGAUUAGCCCGCGUUGGAUUAGGUAGUUGGUGGGGUAAUGGCCUACCAAGCCGACGAUCCAUAGCUGGUUUGAGAGGAUGAUCAGCCACACUGGGACUGAGACACGGCCCAGACUCCUACGGGAGGCAGCAGUGGGGAAUCUUAGACAAUGGGUGCAACCCUGAUCUAGCCAUGCCGCGUGAGUGAUGAAGGCCUUAGGGUUGUAAAGCUCUUUCAGCUGGGAAGAUAAUGACGGUACCAGCAGAAGAAGCCCCGGCUAACUCCGUG
rnacentral:rRNA from 1 species